UACAGAGGUCUCAACCGUUGUUCGGAUUCAUUGGGCGUAAAGGGUGCGUAGGCGGUCGCGCAAGUCGGAUGUGAAAUCUCAGGGCUCAACCCUGAAACUGCAUUCGAUACUGCGUGGCUAGAGUGCUGGAGAGGAGACUGGAAUUUACGGUGUAGCAGUGAAAUGCGUAGAUAUCGGAAGGAACACCGGUGGCGAAAGCGGCGCGCUGGACCUCUUCUGACGCUGAGGCGCGAAAGCCAGGGGAGCAAACGGG
rnacentral:rRNA from 1 species